UGGGGAAUCUUGCGCAAUGGGCGAAAGCCUGACGCAGCGACGCCGCGUGGAGGAUGAAGGUCUUCGGAUUGUAAACUUCUGUUAAGUGGGAAGAAAUACUCAUCUCUAAUACAGAUGAGGGAUGACGGUACCAUUAGAGAAAGCACCGGCUAAACUCGUGCCAGCAGCCGCGGUAAUACGAGUGGUGCAAGCGUUAUUCGGAUUUAUUGGGCGUAAAGGGUGUGUAGACGGUGCAUCAAGUCAACUGUUUAAUUCUCCGGCCUAACCGGAGGUCAGCGGUAGAAACUAGUGUGCUAGAGGGUGGGAGAGAGAAGUGGAAUUCUCGGAGUAGCGGUAAAAUGCGUAGAUCUCGAGAGGAACACCAAUGGCGAAGGCAGCUUCUUGGCCCAAUCCUGACGUUGAAACACGAAAGCGUGGGGAGCAAACAGGAUUAGAUACCCGUGUAGUCC
rnacentral:rRNA from 1 species